CACUUUCUCCCAUCACGCUCAGGUGGGACCAUCCAGUUUCAGGAAAACAAGCUUAACACGCCCACUGAUUCUACAUUAUGCUCCUACCUCCCGGCAGCCUCGCCAGGCCCAGAACUCUCUCCAGUCAGCCUCUACAGACCAAGCUCAUGACUCACAAUGGCCUAUUUAGGCCCAUAGCCUACCUCACGGCAGUCUCCGCAGAUGAGCCUACUGCCUCACAACAGCCUCCACAGGCACAGCUCCAUCGUUACAAUGGCCUCUUUAGACCCAGCUCCUGCCGCCCAGCCUUCUCUCCAGGCCCUGAACUUUCUCCGGUCUCCCUCUGUUGUCCAAGGCUGGAGGGUAGUAGUGCUAUCGCAGCUGACUGCAGCCUCAACCUUCCAGGCUGAAGCGAUCCUCCCAUCUCAACCUCCCACGUGGCUGAGACUACAGGUGCUUGCCACUACGCCCAACUAAUAUUUGGUUUUUUCAUAUACGUGGAUUCCAGAGGGGUGACAGCGAAACGUGGGACCAUCCAGUUUCAGGAAAACAAGCUUAACACGCCCACUGAUUCUACAUUAUGCUCCUACCUCCCGGCAGCCUCGCCAGGCCCAGAACUCUCUCCAGUCAGCCUCUACAGACCAAGCUCAUGACUCACAAUGGCCUAUUUAGGCCCAUAGCCUACCUCACGGCAGUCUCCGCAGAUGAGCCUACUGCCUCACAACAGCCUCCACAGGCACAGCUCCAUCGUUCCAAUGGCCUCUUUAGACCCAGCUCCUGCCGCCCAGCCUUCUCUCUAGGCCCUGAAGUUUCUCCGUGGGACCAUCCAGUUUCAGGAAAACAAGCUUAACACGCCCACUGAUUCUACAUUAUGCUCCUACCUCCCGGCAGCCUCGCCAGGCCCAGAACUCUCUCCAGUCAGCCUCUACAGACCAAGCUCAUGACUCACAAUGGCCUAUUUAGGCCCAUAGCCUACCUCACGGCAGUCUCCGCAGAUGAGCCUACUGCCUCACAACAGCCUCCACAGGCACAGCUCCAUCGUUCCAAUGGCCUCUUUAGACCCAGCUCCUGCCGCCCAGCCUUCUCUCUAGGCCCUGAAGUUUCUCCGUGGGACCAUCCAGUUUCAGGAAAACAAGCUUAACACGCCCACUGAUUCUACAUUAUGCUCCUACCUCCCGGCAGCCUCGCCAGGCCCAGAACUCUCUCCAGUCAGCCUCUACAGACCAAGCUCAUGACUCACAAUGGCCUAUUUAGGCCCAUAGCCUACCUCACGGCAGUCUCCGCAGAUGAGCCUACUGCCUCACAACAGCCUCCACAGGCACAGCUCCAUCGUUCCAAUGGCCUCUUUAGACCCAGCUCCUGCCGCCCAGCCUUCUCUCUAGGCCCUGAAGUUUCUCCGUGGGACCAUCCAGUUUCAGGAAAACAAGCUUAACACGCCCACUGAUUCUACAUUAUGCUCCUACCUCCCGGCAGCCUCGCCAGGCCCAGAACUCUCUCCAGUCAGCCUCUACAGACCAAGCUCAUGACUCACAAUGGCCUAUUUAGGCCCAUACCCUACCUCACGGCAGUCUCCGCAGAUGAGCCUACUGCCUCACAACAGCCUCCACAGGCACAGCUCCAUCGUUCCAAUGGCCUCUUUAGACCCAGCUCCUGCCGCCCAGCCUUCUCUCUAGGCCCUGAAGUUUCUCCGUGGGACCAUCCAGUUUCAGGAAAACAAGCUUAACACGCCCACUGAUUCUACAUUAUGCUCCUACCUCCCGGCAGCCUCGCCAGGCCCAGAACUCUCUCCAGUCAGCCUCUACAGACCAAGCUCAUGACUCACAAUGGCCUAUUUAGGCCCAUACCCUACCUCACGGCAGUCUCCGCAGAUGAGCCUACUGCCUCACAACAGCCUCCACAGGCACAGCUCCAUCGUUCCAAUGGCCUCUUUAGACCCAGCUCCUGCCGCCCAGCCUUCUCUCUAGGCCCUGAAGUUUCUCCGUAAGUUGAGGUAGCUGGGACUGUAGGUAUACAUGACGAUACUUGGCUAAUUUUUAAAUU